rnacentral:rRNA from 1 species
AUUGAACGCUGGCGGCAGGCCUAACACAUGCAAGUCGGACGGUAGCACAGAGGAGCUUGCUCCUCGGGUGACGAGUGGCGGACGGGUGAGUAAUGUCUGGGGAUCUGCCCGAUAGAGGGGGAUAACCACUGGAAACGGUGGCUAAUACCGCAUAACGUCGCAAGACCAAAGAGGGGGACCUUCGGGCCUCUCACUAUCGGAUGAACCCAGAUGGGAUUAGCUAGUAGGCGGGGUAAUGGCCCACCUAGGCGACGAUCCCUAGCUGGUCUGAGAGGAUGACCAGCCACACUGGAGCUGAGACACGGUCCAGACUCCUACGGGAGGCAGCAGUGGGGAAUAUUGCACAAUGGGCGCAAGCCUGAUGCAGCCAUGCCGCGUGUAUGAAGAAGGCCUUCGGGUUGUAAAGUACUUUCAGCGGGGAGGAAGGCGAUGUGGUUAAUAACCGCAUUGAUUGACGUUACCCGCAGAAGAAGCACCGGCUAACUCCGUGCCAGCCGCCGCGGUAA